AGCGACCGACCCUUACGGAUGGGGGAUAGCCAGCCCAACGGCUGGGUAAUACCGCAUACGCUUCUUCUGGGGCAUCCCGGGGGAAGGAAAGCGCUCGAGGCAACUCGAGGGCGUCCGAGGACGGGCUCGCGGCCUAUCAGCUAGUUGGUGGGGUGAUGGCUCACCAAGGCGACGACGGGUAGCUGGUCUGAGAGGAUGGCCAGCCACAUUGGGACUGAGAAACGGCCCAG
rnacentral:rRNA from 1 species